AAAAAAUUAGUUAACUAAUAACGUAGGUUUGUCAAGCCUGAAUUAUCUUUAUAAGAUAUUUUUUA
rnacentral:tRNA from 1 species